UGUUCAGGGCAUUUCAAGGGCUUUGCAUUAAUGAAUUCAGCGGGCUUCAGUUUGAUCAUCAGAACUCCUUUGACAUUCAGACUGGUGAUCAAGCGAGUGAUGCAUUCUAAUUAACACUGCACUUGAUCGCCUUUCCUUUGGAGGCAGUUGGAUCAGAGACACACUGGUUGCUCAAAGUAGAAUACUACUCCUUUGGUAUUACACCACUUACCUUAUGCUGGAGAAAAACAAACCCAAGUACCAACAACUUGAGCCGCCUCCUCACGAUCAAUUACAAACACCACCAAAGCCCGAGCCUCUUGAAAGUGAAACUGAGGAACCAUAUGAUCAACAAUCCGAAUCCCCCCGGUCCGGACGACCAAGGUAAACCCGACCAGCCACUUCCAUUGCCUCCCUCUGAGCCACUUAAUCUAUUCGGCAUAGAUGGUUUGUAAUUACUUCGACUGCGAUCAUCUUUAUGUGAUAUAUGCUACUUGCUAGUAUUAUUUAUACUCGUACAGUUGCAGAUUUGGAAGCGAUGCCUGCAAAAUAAAGAAGGUAGCUCUAUUUUAGAACA